UACGUAGGGGUGCAAGCGUUAAUCGGAAUUACUGGGCGUAAAGCGUGCGCAGGCGGUUUUGUAAGCCUGUCGUGAAAUCCCCGGGCUCAACCUGGGAAUUGCGAUGGAGACUGCAAGGCUAGAAUCUGGCAGAGGGGGGUAGAAUUCCACGUGUAGCAGUGAAAUGCGUAGAGAUGUGGAGGAACACCGAUGGCGAAGGCAGCCCCCUGGGUCAAGAUUGACGCUCAUGCACGAAAGCGUGGGGAGCAAACAGGAUUAGACGUACCCAGUA
rnacentral:rRNA from 1 species